rnacentral:rRNA from 1 species
UACGGAGGGUGCAAGCGUUAAUCGGAAUUACUGGGCGCAAAGCGUGCGCAGGCGGUUUGUUAAGUCCGUUGUGAAAGCCCCGAGCUCAACUUGGGAAUUGCAGUGGAUACUGGCAGGCUGGAGUACGGUAGAGGAAGGUGGAAUUCCCGGUGUAGCAGUGAAAUGCGUAGAUAUCGGGAGGAACACCAGUGGCGAAGGCGGCCUUCUGGACCAGUACUGACGCUCAUGCACGAAAGCGUGGGGAGCAAACAGG